rnacentral:precursor_RNA from 12 species
GCAGCUCUGCCUAAUGCAAGGGGUGUCCCAAAAGUUUUAUUGCAGUUUUAAGCUUUAGAAACUUACAACGGCAGUAAGACUUUUAGGAAGCCCUGGAUAUACAACGUUCCACUUU